UUUGCCAUUGCACAUCGGGUUAGCUGACCCUUUCGAUUACCCCAAAUGAGGGUAACUCGGUCGUAUAAUUUUUGGUAGUGGGGAAUGCGUUCGCCCUAUCCCCGU
rnacentral:snRNA from 1 species